UACAGAGGUCCCAAGCGUUGUUCGGAUUCACUGGGCGUAAAGGGUGCGUAGGUGGCGAGGUAAGUCGGAUGUGAAAGCUCGGAGCUCAACUCCGAAAUGGCAUUGGAAACUACCUUGCUCGAGGGUUGGAAGGGGGACUGGAAUGCUUGGUGUAGCAGUGAAAUGCGUAGAUAUCGUAAGGAAGACCAGUGGCGAAGGCGAGUCUCUGGACAGUUACUGACGCUGAGGCACGAAGGCCAGGGGAGCAAACGGG
rnacentral:rRNA from 1 species